CGCCGUGGGCGCCCCUGGGACCCCGCUGCGGUGGGCCCGUCCGGUCGCAGGGCCGGGGCGGGGCGGGGCGCGCCUGGAUUAGCAUACGGGGCGGGGCUCGCGGCGCCCCGCCUUCUCUGCGGCUGCGCCGCUCCGCGGGGUUUCGGUUCCGAGCGUCGCGUUCCUCCACGGUCUCCGAGUGGAGCCCGGCCGCGGGGUUCUAACGGUCCAGACCGCAGGGACUCAGGACUGCGGUCUACCCUCGACGUCCUCACACCCUCCGGGGUGACCUGAGGGCGGAGCCGGAGUCCUGUGUCCCGAGGCACCAACCACCCCCGUCCCCUGUCGACCCCGUCUCCAGUCUCUUCCAAACCCGUCCAGCAAUUUGGGAUUUCUCCCGUGGCGUCCGAGAAAAAGGAGGCCCCUACUCUGUAUCUGUGUCCUCUUUUGCAUCAAACCUAGACUGCUGUUUUGGAGGGGUUAUCUCUACUCCUCAGCUUGUAGGCGCGGUUGGUUUGAAACCCUGCACGACCUGUGAAGUCUUCCCUGGAUAGCUAUAUCGUCUGGGGUCCCUUGUCCUGCCUGUUUCCACAGCAAGCCCACGAAUCCAGGGCUGCCCUUGUUUCUGGAACAGCAGUAAGUGGUUCCCUCUGAGCCUAGCAGACCGUCUGGGCCUGGGGCUGCCCUGAUAAUCUCAUAUGGGUAUACUGGUACCCUGACUGGCUGCCUUAUCGCUGGCCACCAGCUCUGGUUCCCUCUGCCCUUUCAUCUGGCGCAUUUCAGGAGCCCUGGGUGACUGCCAUCUGAUCCUGGGUCUCCCUUGAGCCCCACCCCUCGCCCUGACAUUAAAGCGCGCUUCAUGAACAGCCGGAGCUAUAGCAGUCAUCAGCCUUCACGUGGGCACUGGGGCCACUACCUCUGGCCUGGCCUUCCCACUGGACCCAUCUUCCACACCAGGAACCUGCCUCAUAGUCUCUUCUCCACCGUGAGGCUGACUCUGCACCACCUCCAGCACCAAACUUGCAACCCUUGAGUGCCAUCUCUUUCCUGUUUCCAAAGAGAGGAGGCUGCCAUUCAGCUUGAGCCCUCCCCACCGCCCUCCACCGCCUGACUCUGACUUCUGGAAAGAAAUCUUCACUUGGUGUCUCCAGCUCCUCCCCAGCCCGCUGCCCUGGCAGGUUGCUGGUGACCAAGCUGACCGUUUGUCAGGCUCUGAAGGGCCUGUCUUGCUGUCUCAGCCUGCUGCCCACCUCCCCACCCCUCCACUCUCUCUAGGUCACCCCCACCUGCCCUGCUGCCCAUGGCCUUCCUCGGGUCACAAGGAGAAGCAAAGACAGGCCCAGGCGCUGAAGCCUCAGCGUCACUGUAGGUUCUGGGUGUUUCCAGGGCUCCGCCUGCUGUGUCCUGGGUGAUCACCCAUACAUUUCCACACUUGAAGCCAUCCGGACAAGUGCAUGCCUGAAUGCCUGCCCCAGGCCCAGCCCCCAUAACUCCAGGAACUUAGGGUCCACAGCCUGGGGAGCCCAGAGCAGGGAGCUGGCACAGCUGGGUGGGGGGGGAGGCUGCAUGCUGGGGCAGAAUUCAGACUAAGGAAAGGAGGUGCAGGACAGCCCCUCGGACAACUGUACAGCCAAAAGCACGGUGGUGGCAGAGCGUGCAAACCCCUCUAUGGCUGAAGUCCCGAGACCGGGAGUUCAGGGAGACUGUUCCCUCCACGGGCGUGGAGGGCAGCUCGGCUCUGCUCACUGUCUUCUGGUUUUCUGCCCAAGUUCUGGUGUGAGAGGUCCCAGUGGAUCUCCAGUGGGCCACUGACACCUCAAACUGAGCUCACCUCCCCCAACUUCACCAGCGGCUUCCCCUUGGGUUAUUUCCAUUUCCAGCAAGAGGCACAACCAACCAUACAGGCAGCUGCCUCACCAGCAGCCUUCGAGUCACGGCUCACUCCUCAUUACUCACCAGGCCCUGAGGUUCUGUGGCUUCCCAGUUUGGCCUUCACCUCUGCCCUGGGUAUCUUCACAGCCUCUCAACUGGCCACCUGCCCAGUCUUCCCCACCCUGUCUCAGAGGAUCUUCCUAAAUGGCCUCACCGUUGCUCUCAUCGUGUGGACAAGGAAGCACGUCUGGGAAGUGACCUUGCCUAGUGUCAGCUGGCUGGUGAGCAGCAGAACUGACACUCAAGCCCUGCUGGCGGAGCGUGGCCCGCGCAGCUCUCUACACCGCCUGCUUCCUGCCCGAGAGGUCAGGGCGUGUCUGGUGACCAGCGACGGACUCAGGAGGGACCCAGGUCACCUUCCCCUUGGCCCCCCAGCUCCAGGCGAGCCCUGGGGGUGGGAGAAAGUCCAGGGGAUGUGGAAGGGACUGGCCAGGGACGCACGCCUCUGCCUUCUCCCCGCCAGCUGUGCGGCCCCUGGUGUGAAGUCUCAGCAUCACAAGCCGCUGGCCUGUCCCAGUGCGGAUGGGGAUUUCCAGGAAUAAAGAAGGUGCCCAGACUUCUGUUGUGGUUUAGUGGCUAAGACUGUGCUCCCAAUGCAGGGGGCCCGGGUUCAACCCCUGGUCAGGGAACUGGAUCCCACAUGCUGCAACGAAAGAUCUUGCGUGCCACAACUAAGACCAAACACAGCCAAAUAAAUGAAAGGAGGGGCUUUGGGAAACUCAAGCCAGAGACCUUGGUAGGGAGAGGUAUACAGAGAUGUGGGGUGGAGUCCCGACUUCCCUGAGAGUUCUAACGGAGGUGAACAAACCCACUGUCUGCACUGGAAGAUGGUAGGAGAAACCCAGUAACACUUUGCAGAGGAAUGGCUUCCCUGGUGGUGCUAGUGAUAAAGAACCCGUCUGUCAACACAGGAGCCGCAAGAGAUGCCAGUUCGAUCCCUGGGUCAGGAAGAUCCCCUGAAGGAGGGCACGGCAACCAACCUACACCAGUAUUCUUGCCUAGUGAAACCCAUGGACAGCGGAGCCUGGCGGGCUAAGGUCCAUAGGGUCGGAGAGAGUUGGACAUGACUGAAGCGGCUUAGUACACAGCACACACGUAUCAUCUCACACAGGGAAGGGAGAGGAUGACAGGCCCCCGAUGAUUGGAAAGCUGAACUUAUCCUGAAGAAGGCCAUUUCAAGGCAGAAAGAAGAGAGUCCUGCAGCCCGACAUGGCAACUUUAUUAAGAAAUCAGGAAACUGAAGAGGGUGUGUCCACCUAGAGUGCCCUCUCCCAGUGGACAAGCCUUUCCUUUUGAGUAGCGAUGAAGACACACCAGAGGGUGUGACGCUGAGAGGGCGCUGGGCCCUCCUGACCUGGCUAGAUAAGAGCCAUAUGUGGCCCAGGUGAGGUUUCGAGGAGAUGGAAGAAAAAGUAUAGUUGUGUUAUCAGAGGGGAAGGGGUGGGAUAAAUAAGAUGAUUUUGGGAGUAUAAUUUAAAUAAUUGGAGCUCACAAAAUGAUACACUUUUUUAAAAAAAUAAAAAAUUGUCCUCUAUACAGGCAGGUCGAGGCACAGCCUGGGGCAGCCAGCCCUGCAGGGGAAACUGUAUCUCCCAGGUGACUCCAAAAUGUCGGGCCCUGAGAGAGGCAAGAGGUGGAGGAAGGGGGUGAUCCCAGGGACGGAGCAGCUCUUCUCACUGACCAGAGCCUUGAGGGCUGCUGUGACAGGGCCUGAUUCUUUUCUUUUUAUCUGAGCUGAGCUGCUUAGCUCGCCUACCAGAGAUCAAAUCCAG
ensembl:lncRNA